AGCUGGGCCUGAGCAUGCCAUGGCUGACAUCUGUCACGCAUGGUUCAUUCUCUCUUAUCCUUUCCCCAGGGGGAGAAUUGCAUGUGCAAUGGAGUAUUUUGUUUUGGUGUGGGGUUGGUUUUCAAUGUCCGUACAGCUCUGUGUUGAUAUCAGGCUGGAGACACGCGCCUGGCACUUGGAGUGGAAGUGACGACAACAGAAACAGCGUUUGGACUUUGGAGGCAGAUCCUGGCCUGAGAAUUUGGUCAGCAAAAUUACUGAGAACCUGUGAUGUCCUCUGAUUACUUCUGUCCUGCAACACCACUUUGGGAUGACAUCAUUGGAACAGAAUCUGAAGUGGAAUUGCUUCGGUUGUUCUGCAUGGCUGGAUGCUAGUCUCUUUUCUCUUUUGACUCCAUCCGUCUGGCUUAUUAAUAUCAGUCCUUAUAGACACUUUCCAAAUUGUAAUAUGGGACCUAGUCUAAGGACCAGGGAAGUCAAUGGAAAGACCUCCAGUGACUCCAACUGGAGCUGGACCAGGCCUGUAAAGAACAAUCUAAAACUUUGAGGUCACAAGUUUCCAAAGUCAGAGUGCUCCAUUUCUUUUGUCCUCACCAGGCCUGAUUGCCACCUCCCUCCCCCUCACACACACACACAGAGCAAGAGAAAUUCACCCCUGUGAAGAAGAUCUGUGCAAAGUCUGUGUGUCACUUCAGUCCCAUUUAAACUGAGGCCUGAUAAACUUAGGUCAACC